AGCCCCACACAUCAUCCCAACGUAUUCAUCUUCUUCUUCUCUUCUAUUUUCUAUACCAUUGACUUCGAGAAUCCUGAUUUCUCUUCUUCAAAAUGGUGUCAGUGAAUAUUGGUGUGGGAUACGAGGGAAGAGGAAGGCCGGCUUCUGCGCCCCGACUCCAUCUUCUUCCUCCACGACUUCCCCGACUUCCGCUCACUUCUAUGGAGACAAACGAGACGGAAGAUAGUGAGGAUGAACUUCCUAUGGUGACGAUGGGACUGCGUCGCUUCUCCUAAUCAGAGAUCUCACUCGAGCUGAGGGGUGACUGCUAUGUCAUGACUAGCCUCAUGGCCAGUACUAGGAGGGCACCAUGUGAGCUCCCAGCACAUUUGAAUCCUACCGAAGGAUCAUCGGAGCUGCUUGAUGUCCCAGUACCUUGCGAGUGAUUACGCUCGGCCAGAAGGUACAAGAUUUGGGAGAUACAUUUUCAGAUUUCAGAAUUAAUAGAAUUUUCUUGGAUUAAAUAGGUAGUUUAUAUGCGAGAAUUGGCUUUGCUCGAAGGUCAAGGGAUCUCUCUUGAGGUUUUCACAUGUUUCAUUCCUCGCUGAAUGUUUGUUGGGACAUUCACAUCGCGUUUUUGUGUAAUUCUAAUUCUAGUUUAAAGCUUAGGCUUCGGCCCUAUUUCUCGCCCCCACCCAAAAAAAUGAGGCAGUAUGUAUUUGAGCAUAUAUAUAUAUAUAUAUUAGAAUGUAA